rnacentral:tRNA from 1 species
GUACGGCCAGGGUGUGCUGGGGAACUGGGUGCGUUUCACGCACGCGGGGGACGGGGUGGUCGUGUUCGACUCGCGCGGCCGUAUG